rnacentral:rRNA from 1 species
UCCAGACUCCUACGGGAGGCAGCAGUGAGGAAUAUUGGUCAAUGGGCGGAAGCCUGAACCAGCCAAGUCGCGUGAGGGAAUAAGGCCCUACGGGUCGUAAACCUCUUUUGCCGGGGAGCAAGGGCGGGGACGUGUCCCGGCCCGGAGAGUACCCGGAGAAAAAGCAUCGGCUAACUCCGUGCCAGCAGCCGCGGUAAUACGGAGGAUGCGAGCGUUAUCCGGAUUUAUUGGGUUUAAAGGGUGCGUAGGCGGGCUUUUAAGUCAGCGGUCAAAUGUCGGGGCUCAACCCCGGCCUGCCGUCGGAACUGGGUGCCUUGAGUGGGCGAGAAGUAUGCGGAAUGCGUGGUGUAGCGGUGAAAUGCAUAGAUAUCACGCAGAACCCCGAUUGCGAAGGCAGCAUGCCGGCUUCCGACUGACGCUGAAGCACGAAAGCGUGGGGAUCGAACAGGAUUAGAUACCCGGGUAG